AUAAUAGCAUAUCAAUAAGCGGAGGAAAAGAAACUAACAAGGAUUCCCCUAGUAACUGCGAGUGAAGCGGGAAAAGCUCAAAUUUGAAAUCUGGCGGUCCUUGGCCGUCCGAGUUGUAAUCUAGAGAAGUGUUACCCGCGCUGGACCAUGUACAAGUCUCCUGGAAUGGAGCGUCAUAGAGGGUGAGAAUCCCGUCUCUGACAUGGACUACCAGGGCUUUGUGGUAUGCUCUCAAAGAGUCGAGUUGUUUGGGAAUGCAGCUCAAAAUGGGUGGUAAAUUCCAUCUAAAGCUAAAUAUUGGCGAGAGACCGAUAGCGAACAAGUACCGUGAGGGAAAGAUGAAAAGAACUUUGGAAAUAGAGUUAAACAGUACGUGAAAUUGCUGAAAGGGAAACGCUUGAAGUCAGUCACGUUGGCCGGGGAUCAGCCUCACAAAUUGUGUGGUGUACUUUCUGGUUGAUGGGUCAGCAUCAAUUUUGACUGUUGGAAAAAGACUUGGGGAAUGUGACAGCUCUGGCUGUGUUAUAGCCCCUUGUCAUAUACAGCAGUUGGGAUUGAGGACCUCAGCACGCCGCAAGGCCGGGUUUCGACCACGUUCGUGCUUAGGAUGCUGGCAUAAUGGCUUUAAGCGACCCGUCUUGAAACACGGACCAAGGAGUCUAACAUGCCUGCGAGUGUUUGGGUGGAAAACCCGAGCGCAUAAUGAAAGUGAAAGUUGAGAUCCUGUCGUGGGGAGCAUCGACGCCCGGACCAGAACUUUUGGGACGGAUCCGCGGUAGAGCAUGUAUGUUGGGACCCGAAAGAUGGUGAACUAUGCCUGAAUAGGGUGAAGCCAGAGGAAACUCUGGUGGAGGCUCG
rnacentral:rRNA from 1 species